UGCGAUAUACAGUAAGCGGCUUAGCGAAAGCAUUAAGUGAACCACCUGGGGAGUACGAUCGCAAGUUUGAAACUCAAAGGAAUUGACGGGGGCCCGCACAAGCGGAGGAACAUGUGGUUUAAUUCGAUGAUACGCGAGGAACCUUACCUGGGCUUAAAUGCAGGUUGCAUUACCGGGAGACCGGUAUUCCCUUCGGGGCUACCUGCAAGGUGCUGCAUGGUUGUCGUCAGCUCGUGCCGUGAGGUGUCGGGUUAAGUCCCAUAACGAGCGCAACCCUUACCGUUAGUUGCCAACAGGUAAAGCUGGGGACUCUGGCGGGACUGCCACCGUAAGGUGAGAGGAAGGUGGGGAUGACGUCAAAUCAGCACGGCCCUUAUGUCCAGGGCUACACACGUGUUACAAUGGCCGGUACAAAGGGCAGCUACCCCGAGAGGGGAUGCGAAUCUUGAAAGCCGGUCUCAGUUCGGAUUGGAGUCUGCAACCCGACUUCAUGAAGUUGGAUUCGCUAGUAAUCGCGCAUCAGCCAUGGCGCGGUGAAUACGUUCCCGGGCCUUGUACACACCGCCCGUCAAACCAUGGGAGCUGGGGGUGCCUGAAGUCUGUGAUCCUGAGCAAUCGGGAAGCGGCCUAGGGUAAAACCAGUGACUGGGGUUAAGUCGUAACAAGGUAACCAAGGGCGAA
rnacentral:rRNA from 1 species